GCUUUCUUUUCUCUUUUAUUCAUCAUCAGUCUUUAUCUACACCUACGAUGACUGUCCACCGGCCGAGGAUAAUUCUCAUUCGACGAAUAGUCAAUCAUGGAUUGAAUUUCCAUCAGAGCUUCACUGUUACCAAAUUUCCGCUGAAAUAUCCAGGAAAAGUCGUGAAAAUUCUGAUUCUGAGAAUGAAUCAGAACAAAUGUGCACACUUCCGGAAAUCUGAUUCAGAAGAUCUAAAAGAAUAAGGAAUACAUGCCUGUCUCUUUUUUGGAGAAGUAGAAAUUCUGCAAAAUAUCCGACACCUAGUGUGAAAUUUCUUUGGAUUGAGAGCUCUCGUGUCCAAACCGCGACAUCAGAAACAACUUCCCCUGACGGAAAUCGUCAGAUUGCUUGCUUCCCCUAAUGAGAAUCGAUUUGCUGCCGAAUCGAGGUCAUCCAGUUGCUAUCAAGGGUAGAAUUCAUCCCCAUAUUGGAAUGCACCCGGUGGGGAGACUCCAGUCAUGAAAAUCGAUCGUCGGAAAACGAGUCUGAUAUCAUAAAGGAGGGUAUGGGUGGAGGGAGUGAAAGAAAAGGGGCUUGAGAUUUUCCUCAAUCGCCAAGUGGUGGGUUCUCUGCUGUUGCCAGCCAGGCAUUGAUCCAACGAGUGCAGCGUCAUUACGAGGUUACUGGGACCACAUCUACGACUGAUUCGUCCCAGAACGUGGCAACCAUCAUUUUUUCAAGUCCCAUGAUAAUCCAGAGCAAAAGUAAAUUUCUACUUUCUAUCGAAAAAUGGGUGGAAAAAAUAUAUAAUAAUUUCAUAAAUUUUUUAAAUGUGUAGAACAUAUAUCAAAGAUGUUUGAAAUAUUUUUUUUAUAUUCUUCAAAAAAUUCAAAUAUAGUCACAGGUUUUAGUAGGUAACAGGAAGUGUUAUUCACCUCUGUUAUGAAUUUCCGAUAAAAAGCUUAAGUUUUCAAUAAAUGGCAUUUUUGCUGCGA